rnacentral:rRNA from 1 species
UACAGAGGGUGCAAACGUUGUUCGGAAUUACUGGGCGUAAAGCGUGUGUAGGCGGUCGAGUAAGUCGGGUGUGAAAGCCCAGGGCUCAACCCUGGAAGUGCACUCGAUACUGCCCGGCUAGAGUACUGGAGAGGUUGGUGGAAUUCUCGGUGUAGAGGUGAAAUUCGUAGAUAUCGAGAGGAACACCGGUGGCGAAGGCGGCCAACUGGACAGAUACUGACGCUGAGACGCGAAAGCGUGGGGAGCAAACAGG